UAGGGAAUCUUCCACAAUGGGCGAAAGCCUGAUGGAGCAACGCCGCGUGUGUGAUGAAGGGUUUCGGCUCGUAAAACUCUGUUGUUAGAGAAGAACAUGCAGGAGAGUAACUGUUCUUGUAUUGACGGUAUCUAACCAGAAAGCCACGGCUAACUACGUGCCAG
rnacentral:rRNA from 1 species